CCGAGUUUACAACUCCCAAACCCCUGUGAACAUACCACUUGUUGCCUCGGCGGAUCAGCCCGCUCCCGGUAAAACGGGACGGCCCGCCAGAGGACCCCUAAACUCUGUUUCUAUAUGUAACUUCUGAGUAAAAUCAUAAAUAAAUCG
rnacentral:misc_RNA from 1 species